CCACAACUCCGGUUCGGGCACAUACCCGGCAAUGCCCUGACCGUUGAGGGGCUCCAGCGCAAGCUGGGGCCCCUUUCUUUUU
rfam:Bradyrhizobium lablabi strain CCBAT 23086 scaffold88, whole genome shotgun sequence.